AUUGAACGCUAGCGGGAUGCUUUACACAUGCAAGUCGAACGGCAGCGCGGACUUCGGUCUGGCGGCGAGUGGCGAACGGGUGAGUAAUGUAUCGGAACGUGCCCAGUAGCGGGGGAUAACUACGCGAAAGCGUAGCUAAUACCGCAUACGCCCUACGGGGGAAAGCAGGGGAUCGUAAGACCUUGCACUAUUGGAGCGGCCGGUAUCGGAUUAGCUAGUUGGUGAGGUAACGGCUCACCAAGGCGACGAUCCGUAGCUGGUGUGAGAGGACGACCAGCCACACUGGGACUGAGACACGGCCCAGACUCCUACGGGAGGCAGCAGUGGGGAAUUUUGGACAAUGGGGGCAACCCUGAUCCAGCCAUCCCGCGUGUGCGAUGAAGGCCUUCGGGUUGUAAAGCACUUUUGGCAGGAAAGAAACGUCGCGGGCUAAUACCCCGUGGAACUGACGGUACCUGCAGAAUAAGCACCGGCUAACUACGUG
rnacentral:rRNA from 1 species